rnacentral:rRNA from 1 species
CUACGGGCCGCAGCAGUGGGGAAUAUUGGACAAUGGGGGAAACCCUGAUCCAGCAAUGCCGCGUGUGUGAAGAAGGCCUGCGGGUUGUAAAGCACUUUCGGUUGGGAGGACUGCUUCUAGCACUAAUAUUGUUGGAAGUUGACGUUACCUUCAGAAGAAGCACCGGCUAACUCCGUGCAAGCAGCCGCGGGUAAUACGGAGGGUGCAAGCGUUAAUCGGAAUUACUGGGCGUAAAGCGCGCGUAGGCGGCUAGAUCAGUCGGGUGUGAAAGCCCCGGGCUUAACCUGGGAACUGCAUCCGAUACUGUCUAGCUUGAGUGCAGGAGAGGAGAGUGGAAUUCCACAUGUAGCGGUGAAAUGCGUAGAUAUGUGGAGGAACACCAAUGGCGAAGGCAGCUCUCUGGCCUGAUACUGACGCUGAGGUGCGAAAGCGUGGGGAGCAAACAGGAUUAGAUACCCGUGUAGUC